GAUGAACGCUAGCGGCAGGCCUAAUACAUGCAAGUCGAACGGUGUCUUCGGACAUAGUGGCGCACGGGUGCGUAACACGUAUGCAACCUACCUUACAUUGGGGGAUAGCCUCUCGAAAGGGAGAUUAAUACCGCAUAAGACAGUAGCUGGGCAUCCAGCAGCUGUUAAAGAUUUAUCGAUGUAAGCUGGGCAUGCGUCCAAUUAGCUAGUUGGUGAGGUAACGGCUCACCAAGGCAAUGAUUGGUAGGGGAACUGAGAGGUCAAUCCCCCACACUGACACUGAGAUACGGGCCAGACUCCUACGGGAGGCAGCAGUAGGGAAUAUUGGGCAAUGGACGCAAGUCUGACCCAGCCAUGCCGCGUGCAGGAUGAAGGCGUUAUGCGUUGUAAACUGCUUUUAUACAGGAAGAAACGACUCUUGCGAGAGGCAUUGACGGUACUGUAUGAAUAAGCACCGGCUAACUCCGUGCCAGCCGCCGCGGUAAAAC
rnacentral:rRNA from 1 species